CAGACACAGUAAUUGUAUGCCAAGGAAUCCAUCCUGAAGAACAAUAAUCUUAAAUUUUAGGACUAUUAUUAAUCCAUAAUAAUAAUAAUAAAAAUUUCUUCUUAUAUCAAGAUGUCCAUCAUAGCAUUUAUCAUAGUAAAUAAUUUUGAAUAGACCUUUAGAAAUGGAAAAAAGCAAAGCACUAUAUUGUAUCUCUACUCAAACUAAGAUUUGACACUGUACUCGGCUCUUUUUAUAAUUUUUCCCUUAAUCCUCACAGUAAAAUCAAAUGUUUGACACAAUGAUUGUCUCUUUAUGAGUUUUUAGCUAACAAAAUGUUUAUGGUAAACAUGGAAUAAAAUGAAAAAUACUCAUGACAGAUGCUAAACAUGAAAGCAAGUGAUUUAUGUAUCUAGUAUGAUUAUAACCAGGUAUAUCGAAAUCUCUCUGUGAAUAAAAAAAAUUGAAGUCCA
ensembl:lncRNA novel transcript, sense intronic BACH1